GCCUCUAGUGUAGCCCUAAAAAGCAAAAAAAAAAAAAAAAAAAAAAAGAUAACUGUCUCUAACCUCUGCUGUUUUACUGGCUGUCUUAAAUGGGGCUACAUUUUGACUCUGAUAUAUUAGGUAUCACUUAAUUUCAUGUCCUUUGUAUCUUUUCCCUCUAAAAUGGUAGGCUAUUGCAAAGAUUCAUUAUUCUUAAAAACAAAAUAAAAUGAUCAAUUUCUCCAGGUGUUUGCUGUAUAAAUAUAAGAAAUGAUUCUCAGGAUUUCCUUGGUCUUUUCAGCUGUGUCUGUAAGGCAAGUAAGCACAUUCUCAAUGAAGAGGGUGUUGUGAAAUUCCUUCCAGAGAAAUCUGGCAUUCAUUCUACAUUAACCUGGAGGCUGAGGAACCCUGAAAUUGUUCCAGUUAGUUCUUACUCUGCCAGGGACAAAAAUCUUCCCCAGACGUCCCUCUGCCUUACAUCUCUUUGGCAGAAGGGGUCUCAUGGCCUUUCUGAGCUACAAGGAUGGCUGGAAAAAGCAAGUCUCUCUCCUUUUAGUUCCUCUCUAAAAAAGGCAGUUUUUCAGCAUCUACAUUAGGAGACAUCACUGCCUACCAGUAGCCUCCCCACUCUUGGGAAUGGACUCUGGCAAAUUUACCACUGUAGCAGUCGACACUUCCCAUCUAGCAUGGAAGAAUGGGGUUCCAACCUUUGUUGCACUAUUUUUGAAAGACAGUCAGUAUAGGAGUGGCUGGACCAAGUCUAUUUAAAUUGCUUUGAAAUUAACCCAGUAAAGCACCACAAAACACUGCAAGCUAAAGAAGAGAGUGGGAAAAGUUGUACUGGCAUCAAUCUGUUUCUCACAACUGCCUUGUGAAGGAGGCAGGUAGCCAUCAACCAUCCUACUGAUUUUAUAAAUGAGGAUGCACAGUUAAAGGGGCAGCAGUUUGAAUUCAAGGAACCAAGUGUGAAGAGUUUCAUUUCUAGGCUCUGAAUGACCAAGGGUGUCUGGACUGUAAGUUUUCUGCUCAAAACAUGUUUGCUAUAGGUCCUCCGACAGCUGGAAUUCAUCUGAAGUACGUAGAUCUCUCUUUUUAAGAUAUUGGGUCUCUGAUGUCCAUGCUUUACAUCAAAAUUUGUAAUUUUUUUGCUGUAAAUAGUUGGAGAAUGGCAUAGGAUGACCUUUUGUUAGGCAAUGUAAAAUAUGUAUAUAUAUACACACACACAUGCACACACACAAUAAACUUUGUGAGCUAAUUCUAGAAUAGUCUUCCAUUAAUAGUAAAGUAGGAAACAUGGACUUACAUGUUAUCCUGGACAUUACUCUUUGUUUUUAUUGUAUUCAUAAACUAUUGAAGGAGGAGAAGCUCUCCUUGGAGGACAAGUGUGAUGGAGUUUGACUGUCCUUUAGUUCUAUCUUAAUCACCAAAAUGACAGGACCUCACACCUGUCUUCCUUCUAGUGAUGUCAGGUGGUUGCAACAAAGCAUGGAGGCAACCAGCACAUUAUUCCAAAAGUAUCUCCUUGAUCUGAAAAUGAAGAGAACAACUUGAUGUGAAUAAAACCCAAAGCAUUUUGGGAAAUGUUAGUCUUUCCUGAUCCCCUUUCUCUCCUUGGGAUAGAUUUAGUUGAAAGCGACGGAAUUUUGAUACUGCUUAAACACAUGAGAAGUUUCCUUUUUCUUGCUAAAACUGGACAUGGCCAUUUCGGGGGCAAAUAUAGCUGCUCUAGGGCCAGGCUCAUUUCACCUUUAUGCUUUGGUGUCCUUUGUGCAUAAUGGCUGAGCAUCUAAGUAUGUCAGCAUUCCAGAAACAAAGAAGGAAGAAGAAGGAGGAAGAAGUGGCUAUAUGAGAAUUUGGAACAUUUCCAGAAACCCCAGUAAACGUACAUCUUGUUGUCCUGAACCAAGUCCCACAGUGAUCAUUUGCUGCAGUAGAGUCUGACAACUGCUUUUUUCCCCCUCUGGACACAUUUCCUUUCCUGCAGGAGCUGAGAUUCUCUCGAUGAGGAUGGAAUAGGGAAGCGAUAUUGCCCAGGCAAUGCACCAUGGAGACCAGACCUAUCAGAGUCCAGCAGAGGAUGGUGCCCGGGCUUGGUGUGUUGGUCAUUGCUCACUACAAAUGCAAGUCAAAAUGAUAAAUGUCAAACACAAACUACCAUUUUCUUUUCUUUUUUGAGUAAAGCAAUAGCAGCCUUCCUAGUCAUGUUUACUCUUGCACCGAAUGGACGUUUGUUUUCUUGUGUUAUGUGUGUCGUUUUACAAUUGUUACCAAUUUUGGUGAAGAAGUGAAGGUUCAUUUGAUGAGAAGGGGACUUUUGGAGGGGCCAGUUCAUUCAGUUUUCAGAGGGGUCUGAUCUUCAUCUGGUGCACAGGUCCUGGGUGCCUGGCCUCCCCUUGGGAACCACGGUCUCUUAACCCUGCCUCAAGCUGCAGAGGAUUUAAGGUAAAGGCUGGGGAGCAGCUUCUGUGUCACAAGGUGGCCCAUUUAGUGCUGUGCCUGAUCUGGCUGUCUGGCUGGUUCUGUGGGGAUGCUCCUGAUGGUGUCCCAGCCAAUAGGUCACCAGUACAUUUAAACAGAGCCAGGGUAGUGUGGCAUGUACAGCCUGACAGCAUCUUGAGUGGAGGUCUUUUCCAAGGGACUUAAAAAUGGGAUAGGCAUUCUAAGCUGGUGGACUCAUGGGGUUAGCCUUUCACAACCAUGAUACUUAGUUGAACAUUUUUUUUCCUAACUUCUUCUCCUCCUCCAUUAUUUCCUUUCAUCUUUUUCUCCAUUUAGGUUUUGUCCUAGAAGCCUUUUUAGAAGAAUCUAGAAGUCACUUUUCUAACUUCCUACCUAUAGGCAUCUUGGAGGACCUCACCUGGUUCUUUGUGCAAACAUCUCCAGACAGACAUGCGUCGUCUCCAAGUCAGCCAGUUCUGAAGAGUGUGUCAGAAGGGUGUUGCUCAUAUUAAGCAGAUACCUCCUGUUAGAUUUCAGAAUAUUGUACUAACAGUGAAACUCCAAAACCCAACUGAGUAAGAUUUUGACAAAAAGGAUGAUUGCACUAACUGGGUAUUACACUGCUAGGCCUUCCCUUUUGCAUGAGGAUUUGUUGAUUCAGAAGUGAGUGAUAAUAAGCCUCUGUUAGAAAAUUUGGAGGGAAAGUAUCUAUGAAGCUCAGCAAUAAUUCUGAAAAAUGCUAUGCAGUGUUAAAAAGAAACUAACAGUGUUAUCUGCCAUUGUGACUGGCAACUUCAUUGUGGGUUUUUUUGGUUUGUUUUGUUAUUUGUCUUUUUAUGCACCUGAGGCAUAUGGAAGUUCCCAGGCUAAGGGUCGAAUUGGAGCUUCAGCUACUGGCCUACGCCACAG